CCUUCAAUAGCUCAGUUGGUAGAGUGGAGGACUGUAGGUGGGAUGAUGGCAGUCCUUAGGUCGCUGGUUCGACUCCGGCUCGAAGGA
rnacentral:tRNA from 1 species